rnacentral:RNase_P_RNA from 1 species
GCGGAGCGGCGGAUGGCCGCGGCCCUGAAAGGGGUCGAGGAAAGUCCGGACUCCCAGAAGCGACGGUGCCGGGUAACGCCCGGGCAGGGCAACCUGACGGAAAGCGCCACAGAAAACAGACCGCCGGCCCAAGGGCCGGCAAGGGUGAAACGGUGGGGUAAGAGCCCACCGCGGGACGGGCAACCGGACCGGCACGGCAAGCCCCACCGGGAGCAAUGCCAAAUAGGGACCGCGCGGGCCGCAAGGCCCGGGGCCGCUUCUGCCCCAGCAGGUCCGGGUUGGCAGCAUCAGGCGCGCGGCGACGCGUGCCGCAGAGGAAUGGUCAUCUCCGCCGGGGCGACCCGGUGCAGACAGAAUCCGGCUUACAGCCGCUCCGCGCGC